AUGACCAGGAUGAGGAACAAGAUCAGCACAGCAACCAUCCGGAGUUUUGGCACAGAAAUUGGUGCCGUGACCCUGCUGGAGUCCGGGGGGGACCUCCAGCCCCCUGGGGCAUCUUUGGCCCUUGUUUGCCGCACCUCCGGUUUCACUCUCGGGGAUUAUGGGAUGUACUGGAUCCGGCAGAGCUCUGGGAAGGCGCUGGAAUUGGUGGCAGCGAUCAGCAGUGCUGGCAGCACCACCUGGUUCGGGCUCUCGGUGCAGGGCCGUGUCACGAUCUCCAGGGACAACGGGCAGAGCUCGGUGACGCUGACCAUGAACAACCUCAAGGACGAGGAUUCCGCCGUUUAUUUCUGUGCCAGAAAUGCUGGAGCUUGUUCAGGCUCUGGUUGUACUGCUUGUCAUAUUGACGGUGCAGGGCCACAGCCUCACUUGUCCCCAAAUGUCCCCAGAGCCUUUCCAGUAACCCAACUGCUGACUCCAUUCCUGUGCCUGCGACCCAGCUGGAACUGGUUCAGCCCCAAAUCCCCUCCCCUGACCUUCUCUGCCAAUCCCAACCCCUGA